AACGAACGCUGGCGGCAGGCUUAACACAUGCAAGUCGAACGCAUCCUUCGGGGUGAGUGGCAGACGGGUGAGUAACGCGUGGGAACGUGCCCUUCAGUUCGGGAUAACCCAGGGAAACUUGGGCUAAUACCGGAUACGUGCGAGAGCAGAAAGAUUUAUCGCUGAAGGAUCGGCCCGCGUCUGAUUAGCUAGUUGGUGGGGUAAUGGCCCACCAAGGCGACGCUCAGUAGCUGGUCUGGGAGGAUGAUCAGCCACAUUGGGACUGAGACACGGCCCAAACUCCUCCGGGAGGCAGCAGUGGGGAAUAUUGGACAAUGGGCGCAAGCCUGAUCCAGCCAUGCCGCGUGAGUGAUGAAGGCCUUAGGGUUGUAAAGCUCUUUCGUCCGGGACGAUAAUGACGGUACCGGAAGAAGAAGCCCCGGCUAACUUCGUGCCAGCCGCCGCUGUAA
rnacentral:rRNA from 1 species